UAGUUGGUCGGACAAACAGGGAUAGGUGAACCCGCCAGGUCGGGAACGAAGCAACGGUGUCUGAUUCCUUGCUGUGUUCGUACCAGCUACCG
rnacentral:SRP_RNA from 1 species